UUGUCUCAAAGAUUAAGCCAUGCAUGUCUCAGUACGAGCCGCAUUAAGGUGAAACCGCGAAAGGCUCAUUAAAUCAGUUAUGGUUCCUUAGAUCGUACCCACAUUUACUUGGAUAACUGUGGUAAUUCUAGAGCUAAUACAUGCAAACAGAGCUCCGACCGGAGACGGAAGGAGUGCUUUUAUUAGAUCAAAACCAAUCGGCGGCGGGAGGCGCGCCUCGCGCGCACCCCCGUUCGCCGCUAUGCCUGGUGACUCUGAAUAACUUUAGGCUGAUCGCACGGUCUCGCACCGGCGACGUGUCUUUCAAAUGUCUGACUUAUCAACUGUCGAUGGUAGGUUCUGCGCCUACCAUGGUCGUAACGGGUAACGGGGAAUCAGGGUUCGAUUCCGGAGAGGGAGCCUGAGAAACGGCUACCACAUCCAAGGAAGGCAGCAGGCGCGCAAAUUACCCACUCCCGGCACGGGGAGGUAGUGACGAAAAAUAACGAUACGGGACUCAUCCGAGGCCCCGUAAUCGGAAUGAGUACACUUUAAAUCCUUUAACAAGGACCAAUUGGAGGGCAAGUCUGGUGCCAGCAGCCGCGGUAACUCCAGCUCCAAUAGCGUA
rnacentral:rRNA from 1 species